GAUGAACGCUGGCGGCGUGCCUAAUACAUGCAAGUCGAGCGAACGGACGAGAAGCUUGCUUCUCUGAUGUUAGCGGCGGACGGGUGAGUAACACGUGUAUAACCUCCCUAUAAUACUGGUAUAACUUCGGGAAACCGGCUCUAAUACCGUAUAAUAUUUUGAACCGCAUGGUUCAAAAGUAAAAUACGGUCUUGCUGUCACUUCUAGAUGGAUCCGCGCUGCAUUAGCUAGUUGUUAAGGUAACGGCUUACCAAGGCAACGAUGCAUAGACGACCUGAGAGGGUGAUAGGCGACACUAGAACUGAGACACGGUCAAGACGCCUAAGAGAGGCAGCAGUAGGGAAUCUGACGCAAUGGGCGAAAGCAUGACAGAGCAACGCCGCGUGAGUGAUGAAGGUCUUCGGAUCGUAAAACUCUGUUAUGAGGGAAGAACAUAUGUGUAAGUAAAUGUGCACAGCGUGACGGUACCUAAUCAGAAAGCCACGGCUAACUACGUG
rnacentral:rRNA from 1 species